UCCUCUUUUUCUUUGCUUAUGAAGGAAUUAGGUGCCUGUUAACUAAUCAUAAUCUGCGGUAUGAAUUUGUCGGGAAUGGGUGAUCGAUGAAAGAAAUCUACUCCUCAGUCUGAUAGCGGUCAGGUCUGAUUCGUUUUGAUUUCCCUCUUUCUCACAACCUCAUAUAUGAAAUUUAAGAUGCCAAAUUCCCAGGCUUAUAUAAACCAAGCAAGAAAUUGAGCCAAAAACUUUCGAUCUUUGUCAACAACUCAAACGAUUCAAACUCACUGUAUUUUCCAUAGAAGAACGAUGUGGCCAUGUGAAAAAUCAAAAACCACCCGGUGAGAUUGGUCACCAGCAACUGUUCGAGGAAUUGAGAUCAAGCCUAAUCUCCUCAUACCAUGGCCAAAGUCCUCAGAACAGAGCAGAUUUGUGAUUCUAGAUUACUAGGCAAGUCAAAUAAGAGCUCGGGGAGAUCUAAAUGCUGGAGCUUUGGAUGACGUCGUUUCUUCCAUCAAAGGUUUAAUCUUUCAACAUGGCACGGAAGACUCCAUCUACCUCAAUCUAUCUCCAAAACAGAGCAGAUUUGGAAAGCUAAAUGGGUGGUAUUGGGAAUUAAAGGACA